GAUGAACGCUGGCGGCGUGCCUAAUACAUGCAAGUCGAGCGAACGGACGAGAAGCUUGCUUCUCUGAUGUUAGCGGCGGACGGGUGAGUAACGCGUGGAUAACCUACCUAUAAGACUGGGAUAACUUCGGGAAACCGGAGCUAAUACCGGAUAAUAUUUUGAACCGCAUGGUUCAAAAGUGAAAGACGGUCUUGCUGUCACUUAUAGAUGGAUCCGCGCUGCAUUAGCUAGUUGGUAAGGUAACGGCUUACCAAGGCAACGAUGCAUAGCCGACCUGAGAGGGUGAUCGGCCACACUGGAACUGAGACACGGUCCAGACUCCUACGGGAGGCAGCAGUAGGGAAUCUUCCGCAAUGGGCGAAAGCCUGACGGAGCAACGCCGCGUGAGUGAUGAAGGUCUUCGGAUCGUAAAACUCUGUUAUUAGGGAAGAACAUAUGUGUAAGUAACUGUGCACAUCUUGACGGUACCUAAUCAGAAAGCCACGGCUAACUACGUGCCAGCAGCCGCGGCAAUACGUAGGUGGCAAGCGUUAUCCGGAAUUAUUGGGCGUAAAGCGCGCGUAGGCGGUUUUUUAAGUCUGAUGUGAAAGCCCACGGCUCAACCGUGGAGGGUCAUUGGAAACUGGAAAACUUGAGUGCAGAAGAGGAAAGUGGAAUUCCAUGUGUAGCGGUGAAAUGCGCAGAGAUAUGGAGGAACACCAGUGGCGAAGGCGACUUUCUGGUCUGUAACUGACGCUGAUGUGCGAAAGCGUGGGGAUCAAACAGGAUUAGAUACCCUGGUAGUCCACGCCGUAAACGAUGAGUGCUAAGUGUUAGGGGGUUUCCGCCCCUUAGUGCUGCAGCUAACGCAUUAAGCACUCCGCCUGGGGAGUACGACCGCAAGGUUGAAACUCAAAGGAAUUGACGGGGACCCGCACAAGCGGUGGAGCAUGUGGUUUAAUUCGAGGCAACGCGAAGAACCUUACCAAAUCUUGACAUCCUUUGACAACUCUAGAGAUAGAGCCUUCCCCUUCGGGGGACAAAGUGACAGGUGGUGCAUGGUUGUCGUCAGCUCGUGUCGUGAGAUGUUGGGUUAAGUCCCGCAACGAGCGCAACCCUUAAGCUUAGUUGCCAUCAUUAAGUUGGGCACUCUAAGUUGACUGCCGGUGACAAACCGGAGGAAGGUGGGGAUGACGUCAAAUCAUCAUGCCCCUUAUGAUUUGGGCUACACACGUGCUACAAUGGACAAUACAAAGGGCAGCGAAACCGCGAGGUCAAGCAAAUCCCAUAAAGUUGUUCUCAGUUCGGAUUGUAGUCUGCAACUCGACUACAUGAAGCUGGAAUCGCUAGUAAUCGUAGAUCAGCAUGCUACGGUGAAUACGUUCCCGGGUCU
rnacentral:rRNA from 1 species